AGAGUUUGAUCCUGGCUCAGGAUGAACGCUAGCUACAGGCUUAACACAUGCAAGUCGAGGGGAAACGACAUCGAAAGCUUGCUUUUGAUGGGCGUCGACCGGCGCACGGGUGAGUAACGCGUAUCCAACCUGCCCACCACUUGGGGAUAACCUUGCGAAAGUAAGACUAAUACCCAAUGACGUCUCUAGAAGACAUCUGAAGGAGAUUAAAGAUUUAUCGGUGAUGGAUGGGGAUGCGUCUGAUUAGCUUGUUGGCGGGGUAACGGCCCACCAAGGCGACGAUCAGUAGGGGUUCUGAGAGGAAGGUCCCCCACAUUGGAACUGAGACACGGUCCAAACUCCUACGGGAGGCAGCAGUGAGGAAUAUUGGUCAAUGGGCGAGAGCCUGAACCAGCCAAGGGGGCGUGCAGGAUGACGGCCCUAUGGGUUGUAAACUGCUUUUAUAAGGGAAUAAAGUGAGUCUCGUGAGACUUUUUGCAUGUACCUUAUGAAUAAGGACCGGCUAAUUCCGUGCCAGCAGCCGCGGUAAUACGGAAGGUCCGGGCGUUAUCCGGAUUUAUUGGGUUUAAAGGGAGCGUAGGCCGGAGAUUAAGCGUGUUGUGAAAUGUAGACGCUCAACGUCUGCACUGCAGCGCGAACUGGUUUCCUUGAGUACGCACAAAGUGGGCGGAAUUCGUGGUGUAGCGGUGAAAUGCUUAGAUAUCACGAAGAACUCCGAUUGCGAAGGCAGCUCACUGGAGCGCAACUGACGCUGAAGCUCGAAAGUGCGGGUAUCGAACAGGAUUAGAUACCCUGGUAGUCCGCACGGUAAACGAUGGAUGCCCGCUGUUGGUCUGAAUAGGUCAGCGGCCAAGCGAAAGCAUUAAGCAUCCCACCUGGGGAGUACGCCGGCAACGGUGAAACUCAAAGGAAUUGACGGAAGGGCG
rnacentral:rRNA from 1 species